GGGCGCCUGAAGCUUUCUGCUUUGGGUAAAAACCUGAGGUGGAAAGAGGAAGGAACCGCUCACAUUAAUCAGUCAACUAAUGCGAGCGGAGGUCACUACCCUAACACCCAAACACUGUCAGUGUAGCCCCUCGCUCGAUGAAAAUCAAGAGAGGUGCCACCAUG
rnacentral:antisense_RNA from 1 species